rnacentral:rRNA from 1 species
AGCCCCUAAGGAAUAAUUUAAGGGGUGAAGGCCUGCCCCAAUGAUAUAAUAUUAAAUGGCCGCGGUACUCUGACCGUGCUAAGGUAGCAUAAUCAAUUGGCUUUUAAAUGGAGUCUGGAAUGAAAGGAAAAUACGGGGUUCAGCUGUCUCUAAGUUUUUAUUGUGAAUUUACUAAUUAGGUGAAAAGGCCUAAAAAAGAAAAAAGACGAGAAGACCCUUAGAGUUUUAAAUUUUGUUGGGGCGACACAGAGUCAGAAAACACUCUGAAUACUAUAAGACGGAAUUAUCAUGUAUAGAUAAACUACCUGAGGGAUAACAGCAUAAUCUUUAUAAGGUUUGUGACCUCGAUGUUGGACUAGGAAGUCUGCUAGCUAGCCGCUAGCAAGAGAAAUUCUGUUCGAAUUAUUACUCCU